CAGAAAUAAUGGGCAGAAGCUUUCUAAUUUCCAGUCAAAGUAUAUUCCUGGUUCAUUGAUACCUGUGUGCUCUUCUGCCAACAUGAUAUUUUGGCUUAAAAACCUCCGAUUCCUUGCUGUUUAUCCCCCUCCGUCUUUGUAGCAUAAGCCAACGUGUUUUCCCGUUAAGACAGUUCCGGACGAACCUGUCACGCAGGUGAUGUACGGGGCGGUUAUCUUCCACCUUGCAGUGAACUCUCUGCUCCGUCUUGACCUGUACAGGUGCCCGCCGCGCUCCAGAGAGUUGCUUCAGAGAAGUGAAUCUGCGAGGUGACCGGUGCGGUAACUGUGGUUGGGAUGGACUGGCGUACAAGAAAUGUGCUGAAAAGGAUAUUUUGUGUGGAAGAGUGCAGUGUGUUAAUGUUCAAAGCAUACCAGUAAAGGCAGAUGAGGAGACUACAGUCCAGACUCCCAUUAAUAAUACCAUUUGUUGGGGUAUAGACUUCCAUGUCGGGCCAGAUGUUCCUGAUGUGGGAUCGGUGAAAGACGGCACCCUGUGUGAUAAAGACCAGAUGUGUAUAAACAGAACCUGUGUCAGCACAAAUAUUCUGGAGUAUUACUGCCGUGAUGAGAAAUGCAACGGCCAAGGGAUUUGCAACAGCAACGGAAACUGCCACUGCGACUUUGGAUGGGCCCCCCCAUACUGUACAGAGAAAGGAUCUGGAGGAAGCCUUGACAGUGGACCUCCUCCAUCUACCUCUACUACAUCCUCCAAUACCUUUUUAAUAGGGAUAAUCAUAGGAAGCGUGAUUCUCCUUCUGCUUAUCACCAUUGCAGUGUGUAGUAUUGCCUGUCGCUUUUGAAGGUCUGGUCAGAAAUCACAGACAAGCAAGAAAAAAAACGAUUCUUCUGCUAGUGUAGGCAAGGGCAGUCAAAAGUAAUCAGGAGCAAUUACGUCUUUGUGCACCAAAAAGGCCAGACCAGCAUUUUGCCAACUGCUGAGGUAGCGUUUCAUAAGUUCCAGCUCGUGGGAUUCAUCAAAAGCCUUCUUAUAUCCUCAACCCUAUCAGCGUCUGUCUAUUUUUGUUCACCGGUUAAAAUCUUGAUUUUGCUUAAAUAAAUGUGUUUUCUCCUUGUUUCUGUGUUUCUUUUUGUA